rnacentral:lncRNA from 1 species
GGGUCAGUUAAGAUUUAUAUAUGCAGGCAAACAUCAGGUCAGAUGCAAAGAAAUAGUUCUUGCUUUUUCUCUUCAUUGAUUGAAAAAAAAGAAGUGUAUAUAAAAAGGAUGUUUUUAUAAUAGUUUUCAACUUUAGUAUUUGACACCUUCUUUAGCUGACCAAAAAGGUGUAUGUGUGGAAUCAAUUUAUUUGUGUAGUAAUACCAAAAUUUGAAAUCUGGCAUUUGAUGAGUCAGUCAGGGAGAAAAUGGAAACACAUUGUGAGAGGAACCUUCUGUGAAAAAAUGCAACUUUGUGACAUGAUCUGCCUGCCUGGCUGUAUAUACCAAAGCAGCAUACAGCUUAUUACUGCAUAAAAGAAACAUAUCAAGAUAAUUCUGAAUCAGAUUGUGUGCUGGAAAAAUGGCCUUACAUCCAAAGGAGUGAAAUUUGGAGAGUCAUUCGCC